UACAGAGGGUGCGAGCGUUAAUCGGAAUUACUGGGCGUAAAGCGUGCGCAGGCGGUUCGGAAAGAGAGGUGUGAAAUCCCAGGGCUUAACCUUGGAACUGCACUUCUAACUACCGGGCUAGAGUACGUCAGAGGGGGGUAGAAUUCCACGUGUAGCAGUGAAAUGCGUAGAGAUGUGGAGGAAUACCGAUGGCGAAGGCAGCCCCCUGGGAUGAUACUGACGCUCAUGCACGAAAGCGUGGGGAGCAAACAGG
rnacentral:rRNA from 1 species